CGACGAUCAGUAGCCGGCCUGAGAGGGCGACCGGCCACAUUGGGACUGAGACACGGCCCAAACUCCUACGGGAGGCAGCAGUGGGGAAUAUUGCACAAUGGGGGAAACCCUGAUGCAGCGACGCCGCGUGAAGGACGAAGUAUUUCGGUACGUAAACUUCUAUCAGCAGGGAAGAAAAUGACGGUACCUGACCAAGAAGCCCCGGCUAACUACGUGCCAGCAGCCGCGGUAAUACGUAGGGGGCAAGCGUUAUCCGGAUUUACUGGGUGUAAAGGGAGCGUAGACGGCCAUGCAAGUCUGAUGUGAAAACCCGGGGCUCAACCCCGGGACUGCAUUGGAAACUGUGCGGCUGGAGUGUCGGAGAGGCAAGUGGAAUUCCUAGUGUAGCGGUGAAAUGCGUAGAUAUUAGGAGGAACACCAGUGGCGAAGGCGGCUUGCUGGACGACGACUGACGUUGAGGCUCGAAAGCGUGGGGAGCAAACAGGAUUAGAUACCCUGGUAGUCCACGCCGUAAACGAUGACUGCUAGGUGUCGGG
rnacentral:rRNA from 1 species